rnacentral:lncRNA from 1 species
UAGGAGAGACUUAGAAGAGUGUUGAGGAGCAAAUGGGUGAGUGUGCAAAGAUAGGGCGAGGCUGUACGGCCAUGUACGGAUCUGUACGGACCGGUACGACCCGAGAGAUCACAACUCAUCCAUUUGAGAUGUUUUGAGAUUGUGCAAAGUCCGGGACAAGAUGUGCAAGCUUAGGACGUGAUCAGAACAUGUCAAGGAGGCUUUGUGCAAUCUUAGGGUGUUGGGAGAAGGCCCUGGUCGUUUGGAAUCAAGAAGGCAUCAAGAAGGCAUCAAGAAGAUGCUUUGUGGAGGCAAACAACCAAUGGGAGCUUCCUUGUGUGUGAUUGGCUAGUUCUGGUCUUGGACAGGCUGUCUCUUGCUGUAAAGAGAAGGGAGCCACGACCAUGAACCUGGACAGAUGCAUGGGAAGAUUAGGAGGAGCCUAAGGAGAGCCAAUCACAAGCAAGGAGCCAGCUUGCCUUGGUUUGAAUUAAAGUGAACAGCCAACCUUAUCCUCACAACUCUUCAGAUAUUACAAGAAGACCAUCUCAUCUACACCAUCCAUUUACUCAAGUUAAUAUUAUCCAUUAGAUUUAGGUUUCAGAUUGUGUAAACCUAUUGAGCUUAUAAAUAAGCAUGUAAAUGGCGAUUUGGAGCCUUAAGGGAGUUUGGGGGAUUUCCCCUCUCCACUUCAUGGAAAUGAAAAGUGUUCUUGAAUCAGAUUCCCUUAAUCUACCCCUUUCUUAGUCUCUAAUCUUCUAAUCUCUCAAAGUUUCUUGUUUCUGAUUUAAGUAAACACUCUUAUCAAUCUCUCUUUCUAAAUCACCUAGAGCAAGCUCUCAUCUUUCUCCAUUGGAGUUUAUACACACACAAACACAACUAGAGAAGAGAACUCUACAAAUCUCACAUGGUAUCAGAGCCAGGUUCAUCAGAACCUGAGCUGUAGCUUCCGCAAAUCACUUGCUCUCACCUCAGCUCAAAUCCAACCCUUGAAGCCUUUCACAUCCGAGUUCAGUUUCUCCAUGAAGUAGAAGACUGAAGCUGGCGUGGCUCUUAUCCUCUCUCCUGUCCAUACUGAUGGAGAGACUCAUUGGAAGCAGAGGUGUAUGGAGAGGCCUCGCGAACCUCAUCCAAGGUGCCUUGUCCAAGAGCUUUCCCAUCCGGUUCAUCAAGCAAGCUGCCAAGAAGAUGGCGCCUAGAAGAGAAGGAGAAAGGAGGGGUCUUUGAGUUAGAGAAACAAGGAGGAAGCCAUGAACUGAAGGAGCAGGAGAUGGGUAAUGAUCCAGACUCACAUAUCCUCAAAGUCAUGAGCUUACCAUCCGAGAGUGAUACAAGGACCAACCUGGUUCCUUGAUAGUAAGCGAUUCUUUAAACCUUAAGUGAUAAUGAGCUUGUGAUAAGAUCUGGUUGUGUGUUGUGAUGUGAUUGAAAACCUGAGGAUUGUUUAAAGAUUGCUAAAUGAAAUGAAAUGAAUUUAGAAUCUAUCCCAGGAUGCUUAAAGAGACUUGUUUGGUGAUUGAGAUUGAAUUAAUAUGCUUAGCUCCAGUUCAUAGUGAUGCUUGUUGUGAUUAAUUGAAUCUGCUUGCAUACAUGUAAUGAAUCUGAUUGAAAGCUGUUGCAUAUAGUCUUGUGGCUGUCUUACAUUGAAGCAUUAGAUUCAUGUCUAAAUUGCUGAGUAAAGAAGCUUUAAAAAUGCCUAAGUAGCUUGUAUUGAAUCUGUUAGGAUCAUGCUAGUGCUUAGAGAGUUUGCUUGCAAAGAUUAGAACUUGAAAAUGACUUGUUUAAUCUGUUGCAAUGCUUGUGAUAUUGGGAAUCAAACUUGAUGAUUAAUCAAGGAGUGAUCCCAAUACUAUUGUGUCUCAUCUUUGCUGGAGUUUGAGUGAUGUUUCAGGUUCACAAGAUGUGUUCUUGGUUCACCAUCCAUCCGAGUUGAAAGUAGGAGACGUUUGCCCAUUGUGUGUGCAAUGGAGAGUGGAUACAAGAGUGGUGAUGCGCCACUGGUGGGUAGUCUCACUGAAGCUCACUUGCAAGCUUGGACCUAUACUCAAUCCAAGCUUGAGGAGGGGAGUUUAGUGAGCUAUCAGUCUGUUCAAGAAGGUUCAGAAGGUCCAUUGCAAGCAACUGAAGAAGAAGGAGCCAUCCGGGUCUAGGCAGUGGCGUGUCUAGGCAAGAGAGUGUUCAGAGCACUCUUGGCUGUGAGAAGAUGGAGACUCUAUCAGUGCGGCUUCUAGUGUGAGGUGGCUGAAGAGGUAGCUGAAGCUUCCACAAGCAAUCCAUGAAGAUGGCGAGUUCAUAAGGUGUUGCAAUGGAAUAAUGGUACAGAUCAUGAAGCUAUCCAUCCAAGCUUGUUCCUGUGAGUGUCUCAAGCUUGAGGGGGAGUGUUGAAGCUUACAUGAUCUGAGAGUACUUGGUGGUUAUUCAAGAAGAGGAGCAGAUCAGUUAUGAAGCAGAAUGAAGGAUGAAGAAGCAAUCACCAAUGCGGCCUCUAGAGUGAGGUGAUUGGUACUACAGUCUGAAGCAUCCAGUCAUGAAGGUUUCAGUAACAUGGUGGUGACUCAUGAAGAAGAAGCAGCCAAGACUCAGCUUGUAUCUAUCAAGGAAGAUCUGUUAGUCCGAGCACUUGAUCACAACAAGAAGGUUGUGAGAAAGGGGGAGAGACCAAGAUCUGUCUGAAGAAGAGUACAAGAAGUGUUGAUGAUGAGCAAGAGGAGUGGGUUCUAUCUUGCAUCACAUGAGGGCCAUGAUCCAGAGUCUUUGUGUCCCUUACAUUGUUGGUAAGGCACAAAGACUCACUGGCCAAUCCCUAGGCCUUGGAGGCUUUACUCUUUUUCCCUCAUCAAGGUUUUGUCCCAAAGGGUUUUCCUUGGUGAGGUUUUUAAUGAGGAAGUUCUUCAAGGUUCCAAGCUUGACUUAGGAUCAGCUAAAGUCAAGCUUGAGGGGGAGUGUUAACUUGAAGAAAGGAAUGGAGGAGCUAGAGGUGUUGAGUUGAGAUGGAUCUUGUACAAAGAUAGGGCAAGAGCUUUAGAGAUUGCCUAUCAAGAGUGAUGAGGAGUCUAAAGGUGUCCAGAAGUGAUCUGAUGGAUGUUCUAAGCAAGGUCAAAGUCUAGGAGAGACUUAGAAGAGUGUUGAGGAGCAAAUGGGUGAGUGUGCAAAGAUAGGGCGAGGCUGUACGGCCAUGUACGGAUCUGUACGGACCGGUACGACCCGAGAGAUCACAACUCAUCCAUUUGAGAUGUUUUGAGAUUGUGCAAAGUCCGGGACAAGAUGUGCAAGCUUAGGACGUGAUCAGAACAUGUCAAGGAGGCUUUGUGCAAUCUUAGGGUGUUGGGAGAAGGCCCUGGUCGUUUGGAAUCAAGAAGGCAUCAAGAAGGCAUCAAGAAGAUGCUUUGUGGAGGCAAACAACCAAUGGGAGCUUCCUUGUGUGUGAUUGGCUAGUUCUGGUCUUGGACAGGCUGUCUCUUGCUGUAAAGAGAAGGGAGCCACGACCAUGAACCUGGACAGAUGCAUGGGAAGAUUAGGAGGAGCCUAAGGAGAGCCAAUCACAAGCAAGGAGCCAGCUUGCCUUGGUUUGAAUUAAAGUGAACAGCCAACCUUAUCCUCACAACUCUUCAGAUAUUACAAGAAGACCAUCUCAUCUACACCAUCCAUUCACUCAAGUUAAUAUUAUCCAUUAGAUUUAGGUUUCAGAUUGUGUAAACCUAUUGAGCUUAUAAAUAAGCAUGUAAAUGGCGAUUUGGAGCCUUAAGGGAGUUUGGGGGAUUUCCCCUCUCCACUUCAUGGAAAUGAAAAGUGUUCUUGAAUCAGAUUCCCUUAAUCUACCCCUUUCUUAGUCUCUAAUCUUCUAAUCUCUCAAAGUCUCUUGUUUCUGAUUUAAGUAAACACUCUUAUCAAUCUCUCUUUCUAAAUCACCUAGAGCAAGCUCUCAUCUUUCUCCAUUGGAGUUUAUACACACACAAACACAACUAGAGAAGAGAACUCUACAAAUCUCACA